rnacentral:rRNA from 1 species
UACGGGGGGGGCAAGCGUUGUUCGGAAUUACUGGGCGUAAAGGGCUCGUAGGCGGCCAACUAAGUCAGACGUGAAAUCCCUCGGCUUAACCGGGGAACUGCGUCUGAUACUGGAUGGCUAGAGGUUGGGAGAGGGAUGCGGAAUUCCAGGUGUAGCGGUGAAAUGCGUAGAUAUCGUGAGGAACACCAGAGGCGAAGGCGGCUACCUGGACAAUUGCUGACGCUCAGGCACGAAAGCGUGGGGAGCAAAAGGG